CACAGCUCACCUUCAAAACCAAAAAAUCCCCUCAACACUACAGAACCCUGAUACACCAUUAAGCAAUCCUAUUUUCCCAUAUGAACUAUUAUGCUAAAACUAGUAAUAAGGGCAUCAACCCCUCUUUAAUGCAAACAUACAUCAGCACGGAUAAACCACCGAUACUUAACACCCACUAAUCCCGCAGCUACAACAAAACACACAAGAAAAUUUACCUAAGCCAAACGUUAACCUAACACAAGCGCAUUACAAGAAAGAUUACAAGGAAAAGAAGGAACUCGGCAAAUUUCAGCCUCGCCUGUUUACCAAAAACAUCGCCUUCUGCCUAAACAUAGGAGGUCCUGCCUGCCCAGUGAUCCAAUUCAACGGCCGCGGUAUU
rnacentral:rRNA from 1 species